UCUGAAAGAAUAUCUCAAUAUUUGAGACUGAUCUUUAUAAGAUCAUUUUCUUAUAUUUGUGAGAUACUUAGAUCUGAGUACCUUUGUAAUAAAGUUGCUGUAAGCAAACCAAAGCUAAUUAGGAAAAAACGGUGGGAAGACAUGAAUAUAUCACGCGUCGAAAACACACCUACCCGAAGGGUUUUAGUCUUUUAGAGAGAAAACAAAGAGAUGUGAGUUUGGUUUGGUUUUGUGUUUUUUUUGGGAGGGGGGUUGGUAGGGUUUGAGGUCCAUAUGCCUCGAUCUUCCUCUUCUUUCACUUUAACCUUUCUUACAAAACUGUCUAAUUAUUCCACUACGUCGGAUCGAAUCAUGCACUUAUAAAUAUUAUAUAUAUAGAUAUGUAUGUACAAGCACAGCUACGUAGAUGGAUUCAGUGCAAACACUUGUCAAAGGAGCAAUCCCGAUCUGGUUCCAUCUUAUCUUCGUU
rnacentral:lncRNA from 1 species